AAAGUACUCCCUCCGUUCGAAAAUACUUGUCUGAGGAAUGGAUGUAUCUAGAUGUAUUUUAUUUCUAGAUACAUCCAUUUGUAUCCAUUUCUAUGACAAGUAUUUCCGGACGGAGGGAGUAAGAA
rfam:Triticum aestivum genome assembly, contig: Triticum_aestivum_CS42_TGACv1_scaffold_160409_2DL